CCCUUAGAGUUUGAUCCUGGCUCAGGAUGAACUCUAGCGGCAGGCUUAACACAUGCAAGUCGAGGGGCAGCAUGACACAGAGAUUCGUCGAAGUGUUGAUGGCGACCGGCGCAAGGGUGCGUAACGCGUGAGCAACUUGCCCUUAUCAGGGGGAUAACCGUUGGAAACGACGACUAAUACCCCAUGGUAUCAUUAGUAGGCAUCUACAGAUGAUUAAAGAAUUUCGGAUAAGGAUAGGCUCGCGUGACAUUAGCUAGACGGCGGGGUAACGGCCCACCGUGGCAACGAUGUCUAGGGGUUCUGAGAGGAAGGUCCCCCACACUGGAACUGAGACACGGUCCAGACUCCUACGGGAGGCAGCAGUGGGGAAUAUUGGGCAAUGGGCGAAAGCCUGACCCAGCAACGCCGCGUGAGGGAAGAAGGGUUUCGGCUCGUAAACCUCUGUCCUAUGGGACGAAGGAAGUGACGGUACCAUAGGAGGAAGCCCCGGCUAACUACGUGCCAGCAGCCGCGGUAAUACGUAGGGGGCGAGCGUUGUCCGGAAUGAUUGGGCGUAAAGGGCGCGUAGGCGGCCCGUUAAGUCUGGAGUGAAAGUCCUGCUUUCAAGGUGGGAAUUGCUUUGGAUACUGACGGGCGGUGAGUGCAGGAGAGGUAAGUGGAAUUCCCAGUGUAGCGGUGAAAUGCGUAGAGAUUGGGAGGAACACCAGUGGCGAAGGCGACUUACUGGACUGUAACUGACGCUGAGGCGCGAAAGUGUGGGGAGCAAACAGGAUUAGAUACCCUGGUAGUCCACACUGUAAACGAUG
rnacentral:rRNA from 1 species